rnacentral:rRNA from 1 species
GGCCGAUCGCCUUGAGUUGAUAUGGCUCAGGACGAACGCUGGCGGCGUGCCUAACACAUGCAAGUCGAGCGGGAACCUCAGGAGGGGUAACCCUUCUGAGGGGAGAGCGGCGAACGGGUGAGUAACACGUGGGCAACCUGCCCCGGACUCCGGGAUAACCCAGGGAAACCUGAGCUAAUACCGGAUACUCCGGCGUGAUCGCAUGGUCGCGCCGGGAAAGCUCCGACGGUCCGGGAUGGGCCCGCGGCCUAUCAGCUUGUUGGUGGGGUAACGGCCCACCAAGGCGACGACGGGUAGCUGGUCUGAGAGGACGGCCAGCCACACUGGGACUGAGACACGGCCCAGACUCCUACGGGAGGCAGCAGUGGGGGAUCUUGCGCUAAUGCGCGAAAGCGUGACGCAGCGACGCCGCGUGGGGGAUGAAGGCCCUCGGGUUGUAAACCCCUUUCGGCAGGGACGAAGGGAAACUGACGGUACCUGCAGAAGAAGUCCCGGCUAACUACGUGCCAGCAGCCGCGGUAACACGUAGGGGACGAGCGUUGUUCGGAUUCACUGGGCGUAAAGGGUGCGCAGGUGGGUUGGCAAGUUCGAUGUGAAAGCCCCGGGCUUAACCCGGGAAUGGCAUUGGAAACUGCUGAUCUGGAGGAUCGGAGGGGGGACUGGAAUUCUUGGUGUAGCAGUGAAAUGCGUAGAUAUCAAGAGGAACACCAGUGGCGAAGGCGAGUCCCUGGACGAUACCUGACACUGAGGCACGAAAGCCAAGGGAG